AACUUCCCUCUUUCUUUUAUAUAUGUGUGUGUGUGUGUAUAUUAUAUAUAUAUACAUGUGUGUGUGUGUGUGAAAGAGCAAAGUUUUUAAUAUUGUGACAGACUUAGCUCUUUCUUUCAUAUAUGUGUGUGUGCGUGUGUGCGUAUGAAAGAGCAAAGUUAUUCACAUUCCCGAAGCACAGACUUUAAGAACAAUGCCAAAAAUUAUGAGAGUUGGCAACUAGUUGUAAGUGGGUCAUGGGAAUGUAGGAAAGGGUUGUGAACAAACUUAAAAAAUGGAGAAAAAUGUGGGGAACAGGGGCUUUUCCCUUGCUGGCUGGCAGAGGUCCAGCCUGGGAGGGGCUGCUUGGAGCCCCCCUGCCCCCACACUGGGGGUAUUGGGUCAGGCCUGGCCAUCGAUGUUUACAGGUGGGUCCUGGUACAAGAAAGGUUGAGAACCGCUGGUCUAGUCCUCCAUCCCCCUGCUCAAAGCAGGACCAGCCCUAACUAGAUAAUUCCUCCCAGGGCUUUGUCCAGCAGGGCCUUAAAAACCUCCAAGGGAUGGAGUUUCCACAGCUGCUCUAGAUAACCGGUUCCAGUGCUUCACCACCCUCCUAGUGAGAAAAAUUUUCCUAAUAUCCAGUGGAUCCACAAGUGUUAGGUUAUUGUGAUUUGACAGUCACUGCAGUGAACUGAUGCCUAACACAGCUUGAUUGGCUUAAUGCAACAACUUAAUUAGCGAGACAUUGUAUCCUAUUUCUUGGCAUACAAAAGGGAGAGGUUUUCCAUAGUUCAAUUAGCAGAGGGUUUGAGGGUGCUUUGAGAUUGCAGUACAUCAAAAGAGCUGCAGCAUAUGUUCCUGGGGACCCUUUGAGUCCAACAGUCACCUGUGGAAGCAAGAGCCUGGACUCAAUGGCCCAGGAGGCCUCUUCCAGUCUUUUGUCCCAAUUAAUACACCCAAACAAUGCAGGGUUGGGACAUGGAAGCAGAUAACCCAAUUCAUUCUGUGUUAUCGGCAUCAUCUUCUGUCCCAUCACAAGUGGUAAAAUCACCAACUUCCCCAUAUGUGGGUCACAAAGAAAAUAGUCCCAAACGAUUGAACUUUGACAACCUGCUUCUUCACAUGGCAGGAGUAACAAAAGACCCCCAUCCAGAUUAUUCAUCAAAAAUCCACUUCCACACUGUAUGGUCAUUAACGUUUUAUUGGGAAAGAGCACCGUGGGAGAAGUCCCAGUGCAGACUAGAAAAUGCAUGAGGGUGAAUAACAGCACAGUCAUCACUUCCAGGAACAUAUUGCUUAUGAAGUAACAUGAGGCCACAUGGAAGGCAAUACCAGGGCAUCUCUGAGAUGAGUAACUAUCUGGGAUAAAGAAACCCAGAGGGUGGAGAUCGGUGGGGGAGAGGGGGUGCCAACCCUAGAGUCAAGGAGAAAGGGCUGCCCAGCCUUUGAUGUGCAUCCUUGCAGAGAGAGAAAAGUAGCAAACAGAAUAGGCUAGUGGCAAUCAGGCGCUGUACCCAGCUUUACAGAGGUCAGUGGCCAAAGUGGUGCGGACAAUCCCUGCUUAACACUGUUUCGCUUAGCGCUAUUUCGCUAUAACACUCGUUUUAAACUGAUCCCCGAUUCCACUUAGUGCUCUGCGAGUUUUGUUGUAACGCUCGCAGUCACCAUCCUGGGUCAUCAAAAACAUUUGGUUUCUCUUAACCCUCGUUUUUCUGCUGCCAAUGAAGGGCGCUAAGCGGGGGCGGCCUGUGCAGUGCGGCCUCACUGGUUCGCACUGAUGACAGUGGAAACGAUGCAAACCGGGGCCUGAUCCAAAGCCUACCAAGGUCAGGUCAAGUCAUUUCAUUGUGUGCACGAGUACUGGGUACAUCCAGCUCCCAAUUCAUGCCCUUCCUCCCAAAGCCGUUUCUAGUUGAUGUGCAGAAAAUGUGCAACUCGUGUACCGAAUGCAGCCAGUGCUACACACUUUCAAUGGAGGAGUCGUGCAAAUCAAGGCCCCUCCAUCACUUUUGUUAAUUGAACGGCAUCUAAUUAAAAAUAAAUUCUUUAAGGACCCACUCCGCUCCCGUCCCGUCCCGCCCCCUGCGCUGCCCUCCCUCAACCUCGCGCGCCACUUUCCCGCGUCCCAGGCGACCACCGUAGCCCAGCCCCGUACGUGGCAGCGGGGCCUAUGAGGGCGGCCCCGAGCCCGGAAGAGGCGUGGCCUGGACCGGAAGUGAGUCGCUAAGCUUAGCCAUGUUGCGGGUGCUGGCGGGUCUCACGCUCGGUCACUUCGUGAGCAUUGACGUGUAUACUGAGGAGCUUCCCGGAGCGCGUCCCGGCCGGCACCAAGAUGGGGCUCAUCUUCGAGGUGGCCGAGGGCGGCUUCCUCGACAUCGACGUGGAGAUUAUAAGACCUGAUAAUCAAGUGAUUUACAAAGUUGAAAGAGAAUCCGAUGGAAACUACACAUUUACUGUUUGUUUCAGCAACAAAAUCGGAGUUACCCUGAUUCCUAAGAUAGCGAACUUCACUAUUGAUAUUGGAAAAGCUCCACACCACAAGGGCAAGACACAGAGACAGAAGGUAAUUCUCCUCAAGCGCCUUCACUCACCACUAAGAAUCCCUUUUGGAUUCUGAGGAACCCUCUUGCAUUCCGUCCAACGCCAGGUAACUCUCCCGAAGCACCUUCAGUUACCACUAAGAAUCCCCUUUGGAUGCUGAGGAACCGUCUUGCAUUCAGUCUCACGCCAGGUAAGUCAGAUCUUCCCUCUUCUACUUGCUGCCAUCUUGGUCUGGCCAGGUAGACACUGCAGCUCCGUGCAGUUGUAGGAGACUCACUCCUGCCUGCUUCCCUUCUCUGGGGAAAACGCAUACUUGCCCGAUCCACCGUUCAACUCUCCUUGCUGCUUAAGCCUAUCAGCAUAACUUCUGGUCUGCCACUUUUCCACACCACAGCUAGCCCUGGUAACUAGUCUGGAGCUCCAAACCCUGCCUUGGUAAGUAGCUUAGCAGGCAGAGACUCCUUGUUCCAUGGAAUCUGCUUGUUUUUAGUCUCUCGUGGCAGGGCAUAACUGAUGCUCUGUCACAGCAAGCUUUUUGUUGUUACUAGUCACUUCCUAGUUGGUGGAUAAGAAAAUACUUCAGCCCUGUCUUGGGUAAACAUCUAGGUAAUAAUUUGAAGAAGACAGUCCAAGUAAAGAACUUGUGUACAGGCAGGAUCAGGGCCCAUCUCUUAAGUGAGUGUUUCUGGAUGAGACCAUUUCUGUCGCUGGGUCCUGGUGGGUAGUAGUUUAGUGGAUGUGUAGUGUCAGAACCCAAGUGCCAUAGUGGGUCAGACCAAUGGUCCAUCUAGCCCAGUAUCCCAUCUCUGACAGUGACAGAAAUAGAUGCUUUAGAGGGAGAGUAUUGAACCCAAUUCUGUAGAGUGAUCUAUCCCCUAUCAUCUGUGAAUUUAUCCAGUCCUCCUUUGAACCUGGCUAUGCUACCUGCCUCCACCUCCUGUGACAAUGAAUUCUGUAAGUUAACUAUGUAUUGCCUGAAAAAGUUCUCAAGUAUUUGCCACUACUAUUUGUGUUAGCACAGGAGGCGUUGGAUGAGAAGUAAGAGCCCUAGCCAUAAAUUAGAAUUUCAGUGUGCUGGGGACUAUUAAUAGCACAGAGCAAGAUGGUCCCUAUGCCAAACAGCCAACUUUCUCUGACAACAAAGACAAUGAGAUAUAGUGGGUUAUGGUAUCGGAACACCACCUGCUUAAUUGCUGCUGUCAAUUUUUUUAGGUUCCAGUUUUGUACCAGGAAGCACAAGGGCAUCUGUGGCAGUCAGUGAUGACUAGAAAAUGAUAGAGAUUAGUUUUUAGGAACUAGCUUGUAGCUAGAGUAGGUAUUGCAUUGGAACAGUGGUUCAGGCUUAAUUGGCAAAGGUUAAUUGGUUUCUAAAAGCCUGUUUGUGACAGUUUCAUAGCCUUCAGGGCAGAUACCGUGUCCAAGGGCCAAUGGACAAGCAGGUGUAUGCAUCCUGGGAAUUUAAGAACAUCCAAACUGUUCCAUAACAAAAGAUAGGCUUGCUGCAUUGGCGCCAGGGUAUAGUGCCCAGCUAUAAAACCCCUGGGAAUUCUGUUUUUGGUGGACUUACCAAACUAGGUUGGGGUUGCCCAAAUUAAGACACGGGUAAAUGACCAAAUUAAGGUUGUAUGCAUAUGAUGGGUUUGUGGAACCAAAUAAUUAUACUGGCAGAACAGAACGUGGAUAGUAUGACGACCACAGGGAAACCAACCGACGAUACCCAGAAAUGAAGAGUCAUCAGAGGAGAGAGAAUACAGAAGGAGUGAUCCUGAGGCCACCAUGUGCAGAUGGCACACCACUAGCCCGUUUCACCCACCCCAUUGUGGGGAGUGGUCAUCAGCCUUCGACCUCUAGGCUGCUGAUAUCUGGCAUACUUCAAGCUAAAACCACAGGGUAGUGUUUGUGUAUUAGCCAGAUAUACUUUACUUUUCCUGUGUGACAUCCUCAGGACUGGUAGAUAAGUAGAACUAGGGUGGGGGUGUAUUUUGUUUGCUUUGCUUACACUACUCUUAUCUGCUAUCACUGUGUAUCAAUAAAAUUUGCCUAUUAUUGAAUGGAAGAA